rnacentral:rRNA from 1 species
AACGAACGCUGGCGGCAUGCCUAACACAUGCAAGUCGAACGAGACCUUCGGGUCUAGUGGCGCACGGGUGCGUAACGCGUGGGAACCUGCCCUUAGGUUCGGAAUAACUCCCCGAAAGGGGUGCUAAUACCGGAUAAUGUCUUCGGACCAAAGAUUUAUUGCCUUUGGAUGGGCCCGCGUUGGAUUAGCUGGUUGGUAGGGUAAAAGCCUACCAAGGCGACGAUCCAUAGCUGGUCUGAGAGGAUGAUCAGCCACACUGGGACUGAGACACGGCCCAGACUCCUACGGGAGGCAGCAGAGGGGAAUAUUGGACAAUGGGCGAAAGCCUGAUACAGCAAUGCCGGGUGAGUGAUGAAGGCCGUAGGGUUGUAAAGCUCUUUUACCCGGGAUGAUAAUGACGGUACCGGGAGAAUAAGCUCCGGCUAACUCCGUG